AUUAUUAAAGGAUUCCGGUAAAGGAUGGGGAUGCGUUCCAUUAGGUUGUUGGUGAGGUAACGGCUCACCAAGCCUUCGAUGGAUAGGGGUUCUGAGAGGAAGGUCCCCCACAUUGGAACUGAGACACGGUCCAAACUCCUACGGGAGGCAGCAGUGAGGAAUAUUGGUCAAUGGGCGCUAGCCUGAACCAGCCAAGUAGCGUGAAGGAUGAAGGCUCUAUGGGUCGUAAACUUCUUUUAUAUAAGAAUAAAGUGCAGUAUGUAUACUGUUUUGUAUGUAUUAUAUGAAUAAGGAUCGGCUAACUCCGUGCCAGCAGCCGCGGUAAUACGGAGGAUCCGAGCGUUAUCCGGAUUUAUUGGGUUUAAAGGGAGCGUAGGUGGACUGGUAAGUCAGUUGUGAAAGUUUGCGGCUCAACCGUAAAAUUGCAGUUGAUACUGUCAGUCUUGAGUACAGUAGAGGUGGGCGGAAUUCGUGGUGUAGCGGUGAAAUGCUUAGAUAUCACGAAGAACUCCGAUUGCGAAGGCAGCUCACUGGACUGCAACUGACACUGAUGCUCGAAAGUGUGGGUAUCAAACAGGAUUAGAUACCCUGGUAGUCCACACAGUAAACGAUGAAUACUCGCUGUUUGCGAUAUACAGUAAGCGGCCAAGCGAAAGCAUUAAGUAUUCCACCUGGGGAGUACGCCGGCAACGGUGAAACUCAAAGGAAUUGACGGGGGCCCGCACAAGCGGAGGAACAUGUGGUUUAAUUCGAUGAUACGCGAGGAACCUUACCCGGGCUUAAAUUGCAGUGGAAUGAUGUGGAAACAUGUCAGUGAGCAAUCACCGCUGUGAAGGUGCUGCAUGGUUGUCGUCAGCUCGUGCCGUGAGGUGUCGGCUUAAGUGCCAUAACGAGCGCAACCCUUAUCUUUAGUUACUAACAGGUUAUGCUGAGGACUCUAGAGAGACUGCCGUCGUAAGAUGUGAGGAAGGUGGGGAUGACGUCAAAUCAGCACGGCCCUUACGUCCGGGGCUACACACGUGUUACAAUGGGGGGUACAGAAGGCAGCUAGCGGGUGACCGUAUGCUAAUCCCAAAAGCCUCUCUCAGUUCGGAUCGAAGUCUGCAACCCGACUUCGUGAAGCUGGAUUCGCUAGUAAUCGCGCAUCAGCCACGGCGCGGUGAAUACGUUCCCGGGCCUUGUACACACCGCCCGUCAAGCCAUGGGAGCCGGGGGUACCUGAAGUACGUAACCGCAAGGAUCGUCCUAGGGUAAAACUGGUGACUGGGGCUAAGUCGUAACAAGGUAGCCGUACCGGAAGGUGCGGCUG
rnacentral:rRNA from 1 species